ACAAAGGGGCGCCAGAAAAGCCCAAAGAUAGCCAGACUCCCUGGUUUACAGAGGAAACGUUUUAUCUUUGCAAAUAGACUCACAGUUCAGGAUUGGAUGUCCUGAGUCACAGAAGCCCCAGCUGUCCACUAACCAGCACCCCGCUGAAUCCGACAGCUCGGAAGAGGACGAGGAUAUGAAAGACCAGCCCUAAUGCGAGCAAUGCGUUGAUGUCUGGGAUCGACUGUGAAACGUUGUGAUGUCUCACUUUUAUCUCUGCGGACUGGUGAGGAUGAUGGCGACUUGGUUAAGUUGGUGUCCUGGACGACCCAACAUGGAUCUAUGGCUCCUUCAACUGUAGGAGGUAAAAUGGUCAGAUCUGAAAAGGCAUUGAGGAGCUGGAAGCUUCAUGCCAGGGCAGCCAGAAUCCAGACUCCGCCCUUUGAACAUCCAGGAUUUCUUACGAACGGACACAAAGAACAUCUCUGGGCAGUCUGAUUUCCUGAUCACAGUAUUUAUUAUUCUGCUUC